GUGCUCGCUAUGGUGGCACAUAUACUAAAAUUGGAUCGACACAGAGAAGAUUAGCAUGGCCCCUGUGAAAAGGA
ensembl:snRNA U6 U6 spliceosomal RNA